rnacentral:rRNA from 1 species
UACAGAGGUCUCAAGCGUUUGUUCGGAUUCAUUGGGCGUAAAGGGUGCGUAGGCGGCGCGGUAAGUCGGGGUGUGAAAUCUCGGAGCUUAACUCCGAAACUGCAUUCGAUACUGCCGUGCUUGAGGACUGGAGAGGAGACUGGAAUUUACGGUGUAGCGGUGAAAUGCUUAGAUAUGACAUAGAACACCAAUUGCGAAGGCAGCUCACUACCCAGAUAUUGACACUGAGGCACGAAAGCGUGGGGAUCAAACAGG